AGGAAUCGGACGCGUACACUAAGGUUCUGAGCGCGCCGUUCAGACCCAGCUGACGACUGCUCGCUACGUUUUGUUUGCC
rnacentral:sRNA from 1 species